AAUUAUACUUUUCGCUUUCUCUGAAUCCGUAGCGCUUGUUCGACUUCACUCAUUCAUUCUCUCCUAUAACCAUGGACCAUGGUUGAUUCAUUCGUUUUCUUUCUCUUUUUAUUCAUUUCAUAUUUAUUCCAAUGCAUUCAAGCUUAAAUCCCAACAUCUCUGCAAAAUUAAGACAAGUUUUAAUAAGUAGUGAACGAGAUUACUCAUCGUUUGGACUCAAUCAAUCAAAUUUUAAUGGCUAGCCUAUAUACUGGGAUGAGGAAAUCAAAAGCAGAUGAGAAGAUUCUCAGCUACAACGAUGUGGUGCUUAGGCGAUUCGAUUUAGACAUCCUUAGUGGAUAUCCUGCUGGUUCCACCAUCCAUUGCAUUUUGGAUAAUACAAUGCCCUCUGUUGCUGAGGCUCUCGGUGAUUUCAUAGAACCCCUUCAUUUGCCUGACAAGAUGCUGCUAAUAUUGAGCCUUUGAUUACCCAGUAACUGCCCAAGCAAAUUUGAUCUUUUAGCAUUAGUUGGGCAGUAAAUACUAAGUAAAGGAACCCUGUUUACAUUGUUAUUGGCUCAUUGCCAUUACAUCUUCAACGUAGUUACAGUUUUUUUUUUUUGUUACAACUUACAAUGUAACUGAAGUGUGAGACCCCUGCUGCACAUGAAGAACAACUACUUUUUUUUCAUCCGUAGUUACAACUUACAACGUAGUUACAACUUACAAUGUAACUGAAGUGUGCCUCUUAUGCUAGUUUGAUAUUUUUUUUCUUC